rnacentral:rRNA from 1 species
CCUACGGGAGGCAGCAGUCGGGAAUUUUGGGCAAUGGGCGAAAGCCUGACCCAGCAACGCCGCGUGAAGGAUGAAAUCCCUCGGGAUGUAAACUUCGCAAGAACGGGAAGAAUGAGUAGGGGACAACACCCCCUAUGAUGACGGUACCGUUUGUAAGCUCCGGCUAACUCCGUGCCAGCAGCCGCGGUAAUACGGGGGGAGCAAGCGUUGUUCGGAUUUACUGGGCGUAAAGGGCGCGUAGGCGGCCUCCGCAAGUCAGUUGUGAAAUCUCCGAGCUUAACUCGGAAAGGUCAACUGAUACUGCGGGGCUAGAGUGCGGAAGGGGCAACUGGAAUUCUUGGUGUAGCGGUGAAAUGCGUAGAUAUCAAGAGGAACACCUGCGGCGAAGGCGGGUUGCUGGGCCGACACUGACGCUGAGGCGCGAAAGCUAGGGGAGCGAACGGGAUUAGAUACCCCGGUAGUCCUAGCCUUAAACGAUGAAUGCUUGGUGUCUGGGGUUAUAUAGUCCCCGGGUGCCGUCGCUAACGCUUUAAGCAUUCCGCCUGGGGAGUACGGUCGCAAGACUGAAACUCAAAGGAAUUGACGG